rnacentral:misc_RNA from 1 species
AAACAGACCCUAAAUAUAAUAAUUUACCUUUGUUUGGGAAAGAGGAAAGAAGCAAGAAAGGAAAUGGAAAGAAAAUGGGAUGAAAAAUACACAUUGGGCCCACCAUUUUUUUUCCCUCAAAUUCAUUCCUUCUAUUUUCCUUCCAAUCUAAACAAUGAUAGAGGAUUCCUUCUACUCUCCUUCCAAUCCAAACAAUGGGAGGACAAUUCUUUUUCUAUCCAACUUUCAUCCCUCCCAUCCCCCCUCCCAAAAUUUGCUUCCAAACAUAGGGUAAAGGAGGGUUCAACGAGAUUAUUUAGACGUGAUAAUAAGAAUAGCGAGUACAUCAGCAAAGGAAUGGCUUGGCUCAAACAGGAAAAAGGAUAUGCAAAUAUGCACAAGAUGAAAAGCAAAAUUCUGCAACUUGAGCAGAAUGUCUGUAUGCUAAAAAGCAGGAUUUAAGACCAAGCAUCAUAUGCAGAGCAUAAGGUUCAGGAAAUUAACCUGGAGACGAUUAAGCACGUAAG